AAUGAACGCUGGCGGCAUGCCUAACACAUGCAAGUCGAACGAGACCUCCGGGUCUAGUGGCGCCCGGGUGCGUAACGCGUCGGAACCUGCCCUUAGGUUCGGCCUACCUCUCCGACUGGGGUGCUAAUACCGGACCAUGUCUUCGGACCAAAGAUUUAUCGCACUUGGUUGGGCCAGGGUUGCAUUAGCUAGUUGGUAAGGUAAAAGCUUACUAAGGCAACGAUCCAUAGCUGGUCUGAGAGGGUGAUCAGCAACACUGGAACUGAGACACGGCCCAGAAUCGUAAGGGAGGCAGCAGUAGGGAAUAUUCCGCAAUGGGCGAAAGGCUGACGGAGAAACGCGGCGUGAGUGAUGAAGGUCUUAGGAUCGUAAAACUCUGUUAUUAGGGAAGAAAAUAUGUGUAAGUAACUGUGCACAUCUUGACGGUACCUAAUCAGAAAGCAACGGCUAACUACGUG
rnacentral:rRNA from 1 species